CGGCCGUCAGGUGGAGGUCGCCGCGGCGUCCGUGCCGCCGCCCGCCCAACCGGCGCAGCUCGGCGGUUCGGAGCCCUCCAUAGCCGACC
rnacentral:tRNA from 1 species